AAAGAAAAGAACAAAAUCAAAGAGAGUUGGCAAGCAAGGGGGCACAUGGAUGGCUAUGAUUUACCCAACACACAUCACACAUGGAUGGAUUAGAUUUAGCCACCCUACCCCUAAACCCUACAUUUCUAGCUAUAAAUACCCCCACCCCCUUUACUUGUAAUCAUCAUCUUUUUAACCUAGGAUUUUCUCCUUUUAGUAGCCUCCUCUUUUAUAGUCUAGAUCUAGUUUUAAUUUGUAUGCUCACUCCUCCUUUUGUAAACACAUUUUAAUAUUUUAAUGCAAGAUUUCAUAUUGUUCUUACAUUCUUGUUCUUUAUGUUUACUUUGGCUAUGAAAUCUUCCUCUAACUACAAAAGAAUUCAAAGUUGUUUGUAGAUUGGAAGGAGCCAUCUAUAGUAGUUUCUUUAUAUUUAGAUUUACUUUUUGAGAAAAACAUGAACUCUAGCACAAAAAUCAUUUGUGUGGGGGUUUAAUGAUUUUAAACUUAAAGGGUAUAAUAUAGUUAAAUUAUUUCAGCAUUUUCUCUUUUAAUAGUAAAUCAUUAGCAGCCACCGAUUUAUUCUCUGUUUUGUUAAAAGAAGUUUUCUCUGUUUCUCUUCGUUUAAAACCCCGCCCCUUUCCCUUUUCUUUUUAUUACUUUGUUUUCUGCUCUUUUGUUUGCGUUUUCUCGUUGCUGGGUUCAACUGAUUUCCGUUUUGUUGAAUCGCUGAGCUCGUUUUUCAUCGUUUGUUUAUGUGUCCGAGUCGUUCUUCGUUUUUGUAACUGAGUUAGUUGUGCCGAGUUUGUGACUCGGUUGAAUUGAGUCUGUGUUCUGCUGCGUGAUUGCUUUCUUUUGCUGUUAAGAUUCCGAGUUUUGUUUGUUCGUUUUUGCCGAGUCUCGAGUUGCCCUCUGCUCUGUUCUUCAUUUAGUUUGAGUUCGAGUUGUGUGGGUCUGUUUUUGUAUCUUUUGUUCAUUUGGUUGUAAUUUGCGAGUAUGGUAUCUGUUCUAUUCUGUUUUUCACCAAAGCAGUCGAGCCUUGAGCUAGUCGUGCGAGUUCUGUUUAGCUGGGUUCGGAUUUUCUGAGUCUAGUCUGCUGUGUUUUAGUCGAGUCAAACGGUAAACUAUCUGGGUUUCGUUUUCGUUUAUAUAGCUAUGAACUGAGUCUUUUUGUGUGUGAUUAUGUCGAGUAUAGCUGAGUUUUGGGUCAUUUCUGGUUUCAUCUGCUAGUUACUGAGUCGUUCAUCGAGUCGAGUUCCGGCCCCGUAGUAAGUUUGCUGCGAUUUUGUUCGGAGUUCCAGCUAUUUCGGAGUUUUGUUUUUGUAUUUUCUUAAGGCGUUUGUCUUUGUAGAGUCGAGUCUGUUAUUUUGUAUUGUGAAUCGCAGCCCUGAGUUCCAGUUGCUUAUUCUACUAAUUUUGCCAAGUUUAGUUUCCUGAGUUUAGGAUUAGAUUUGUUGCGUCUGUUUGUUUAGGAGCUACUGUGUCAAGUGAUAAGUUUGAUUAUUUUAAGUAGUUUUGUUUUUGUUUCCAUUUCAUUUCGUCAAGUUGCAGCCCUGUUCUUGGUUGCUGGGUUUGUUAUUUAUGUUUAUUCCCCUGCAAGUUCAUGGUCGAGUACCAGUAUUGCUAUAUAUUUUGUUUUAUUCGCUGAGUUUACAAGUUUGUUUUUGGUAGAAAUAGUGUUGGCCAGUUAAAAUGUCAGGUUGAUUAAGCCACUCUAUUUACAGUCUGAUAUGUGCUUGUAGUUUUUUUUUAGUCCGAGUGAUCACGUGCUUAAUUAAUUUUGAUUUAUUAAUCUUGGUAAUUAGUUUCGAUUAAUUAAAGUUAAUUAGUUUAGUUUUUAAAUUAACGUUAUAAUAACUAAAAUUAGUGUUAAAAUUUACCCUCUUCACACCAAUUCAUUGUUCUAAUUCGCCUAGAUUUUAAUUAAAGGAUUUGCGAAAAUUAAUUUUAAUCUCUGUGGAUCGAAUCAUAAAUAUUAAAACGGUGAUCGUGCGCUUGCGAUUUAAAGGUAUUAUUUCUAGCACAUCAAGUUUUUGGCGCUGCUGCCGGGGAUUAUAAUUAAUUUUUCGCUCCUUUAUUUUUAAUCUUUCGGAUUAGUUUGUUUCUCACUAUUUUUGUUUUUAUUUCGAGGAGGAUUAUUCGGGAAUCAUGGAGUAAAGUGAACAAAUUUUGCUCGGAUUUGGAAGCUUGCUUUGGAAAUUGUAGAUAAAUAAAGAAAGAAGAGAAAAUGCAAGAAAAAGGGAGAAAAAGAAAAGAAAAGAAGAAAAUCAAAGAGAGUUGGCAAGCAAGGGGGCACAUGGAUGGCUAUGAUUUACCCAACACACAUCACACAUAGAUGGAUUAGAUUUAGCCACCCUACCCCUAAACCCUAUAUUUCUAGCUAUAAAUACCCCCACCCCCUUUACUUGUAAUCAUCAUCUUUUUAACCUAGGAUUUUCUCCUUUUAGUAGCCUCCUCUUUUAUAGUCUAGAUCUAGUUUUAAUUUGUAUGCUCACUCCUCCUUUUGUAAACACAUUUUAAUAUUUUAAUGCAAGAUUUCAUAUUGUUCUUACAUUCUUGUUCUUUAUGUUUACUUUGGCUAUGAAAUCUUCCUCUAACUACAAAAGAAUUCAAAGUUGUUUGUAGAUUGGAAGGAGCCAUCUAUAGUAGUUUCUUUAUAUUUAGAUUUACUUUUUGAGAAAAACAUGAACUCUAGCACAAAAAUCAUUUGUGUGGGGGUUUAAUGAUUUUAAACUUAAAGGGUAUAAUAUAGUUAAAUUAUUUCAGCAUUUUCUCUUUUAAUAGUAAAUCAUUAGCAGCCACCGAUUUAUUCUCUGUUUUGUUAAAAGAAGUUUUCUCUGUUUCUCUUCGUUUAAAACCCCGCCCCUUUCCCUUUUCUUUUUAUUACUUUGUUUUCUGCUCUUUUGUUCGCGUUUUCUCGUUGCUGGGUUCAACUGAUUUCCGUUUUGUUGAAUCGCUGAGCUCGUUUUUCAUCGUUUGUUUAUGUGUCCGAGUCGUUCUUCGUUUUUGUAACUGAGUUAGUUGUGCCGAGUUUGUGACUCGGUUGAAUUGAGUCUGUGUUCUGCUGCGUGAUUGCUUUCUUUUGCUGUUAAGAUUCCGAGUUUUGUUUGUUCGUUUUUGCCGAGUCUCGAGUUGCCCUCUGCUCUGUUCUUCAUUUAGUUUGAGUUCGAGUUGUGUGGGUCUGUUUUUGUAUCUUUUGUUCAUUUGGUUGUAAUUUGCGAGUAUGGUAUCUGUUCUAUUCUGUUUUUCACCAAAGCAGUCGAGCCUUGAGCUAGUCGUGCGAGUUCUGUUUAGCUGGGUUCGGAUUUUCUGAGUCUAGUCUGCUGUGUUUUAGUCGAGUCAAACGGUAAACUAUCUGGGUUUCGUUUUCGUUUAUAUAGCUAUGAACUGAGUCUUUUUGUGUGUGAUUAUGUCGAGUAUAGCUGAGUUUUGGGUCAUUUCUGGUUUCAUCUGCUAGUUACUGAGUCGUUCAUCGAGUCGAGUUCCGGCCCCGUAGUAAGUUUGCUGCGAUUUUGUUCGGAGUUCCAGCUAUUUCGGAGUUUUGUUUUUGUAUUUUCUUAAGGCGUUUGUCUUUGUAGAGUCGAGUCUGUUAUUCUGUAUUGUGAAUCGCAGCCCUGAGUUCCAGUUGCUUGUUCUACUAAUUUUGCCAAGUUUAGUUUCCUGAGUUUAGGAUUAGAUUUGUUGCGUCUGUUUGUUUAGGAGCUACUGUGUCAAGUGAUAAGUUUGAUUAUUUUAAGUAGUUUUGUUUUUGUUUCCAUUUCAUUUCGUCAAGUUGCAGCCCUGUUCUUGGUUGCUGGGUUUGUUAUUUAUGUUUAUUCCCCUGCAAGUUCAUGGUCGAGUACCAGUAUUGCUAUUUAUUUUGUUUUAUUCGCUGAGUUUACAAGUUUGUUUUUGGUAGAAAUAGUGUUGGCCAGUUAAAAUGUCAAGUUGAUUAAGCCACUCUAUUUAUAGUCUGAUAUGUGCUUGUAGUUUUUUUUAGUCCGAGUGAUCACGUGCUUAAUUAAUUUUGAUUUAUUAAUCUUGGUAAUUAGUUUCGAUUAAUUAAAGUUAAUUAGUUUAGUUUUUAAAUUAACGUUAUAAUAACUAAAAUUAGUGUUAAAAUUUACCCUUUUCACACCAAUUCAUUGUUCUAAUUCGCCUAGAUUUUAAUUAAAGGAUUUGCGAAAAUUAAUUUUAAUCUCUGUGGAUCGAAUCAUAAAUAUUAAAACGGUGAUCGUGCGCUUGCGAUUUAAAGGUAUUAUUUCUAGCACAUCAUCAGCCAAGUGGGUAACGUGGUCGACGUCCUUCUUAGAUUUGACCAACAUGUCAUCUACAUACACCUCCAUCGUCUUCCCAAUUUGAUCCUUGAACAUCAUAUUCACCAACCUCUGGUAGGUCGUGCUAGUGUUGCUAAGUCCAAAUGGCAUUCCUAUGUAGCAAUACAGGCCUCUGUUUGUGAUGAAGGAGGUGUGCUCCUGGUCGGGCUCGUACAUGGGAAUCUGAUUGUAUCCUGAGUAGGCAUCCAUAAAGCUGAGAAGGGCGUGUCCUGUCGUUGAAUCCACAAAUUGGACGAUACGAUGAAGCGUGAAACUAUCUUUGGGACACGCCUUGUUGAGAUCCGUGAAGUCUAUGCAGGUGCGCCACUUCCCAUUGGGUUUCUUGACAAGUACGGGGUUUGCUAACCAUUUCGGGUAGAACGACUCUUUUACCAAUCCUGCUUUCAAGAGGCAAUCGACCUCCUCCUACAAGGCCUCGGCUCUUUCUCCACUGAUGGGCCUCCUUUUCUGUCUAGCACCCUUUUUGGAGGGGUCGACAUUUAAGUGAUUGCACAUAACGGCCGGGUCUAUCCCCACCAUAUCCUCGUGGCUUCAAGCAAAUACGUCGAGGCUAUUUGUAAGGAAUUCUAUCAACUUGCUUCUUACCUCUGGACUUAGUUUGGAUCCUAUCUUCAGGAUCUUGCCACCACUCCCCAGUGUAAUUUGUACUUCAAUCGUAUCCUCGGCUGGCCCGGUAUUCUGCACUUGCAUGGGCAGUCGUGGGUCUAGGUCGAAAUCAAACUGGUGCGGGGUUUGCUCUGGGCCUGAGGGCGUGUCCCUAGAAACUUCUUUGGGGGGCGAGGGCUCUUCCAAUUCCAUGACGAUCUCCUCUUGAUCCAGCUUUCUAACUUUCUUCGGAGGUGCCUCCUCCACUUCGAUAACCUGUUCUUCAUAUUCUUGAAACAUUGGUUCAUUGACAAGAGGGGGUUCGCCUUCAUGAGGGACGCGUCUUCCGGGUGCUGGGAUGGUGGGCGCAUCCUCAAUAUCGCUCUUUGGAUAUUGAAUGAGGUAGAGAGCAUGGACUAAGUGGAGUUCCUCGUGGGGUGGCACUCCCCUUUUGUCUCGAAAAUUCUUAAGUGAUCGGCCAUAGCAAUCGCGAGAUUCAUACUGGGAUCCUUUCACACAACCAACUCCUCCAGGGGUGGGGAACUUCAAGGUAAGAUGAUAGAUGGAGGUGACUAUUCUCAUGUCUUUCAAGAGGGGGCAUCCCAUGAGUGCAUUAUGUGCUGAGGGAUGGUCAAUGAUCACAAACUCGGCAAUCUGAGUGGCCGCUCGUGGAGCCUCUCCUAGGGUAACUAGUAAGCGAAUGGUUCCUUUGGCUUUGAUAGCCUCUCCUCCGAAGCCAUAUAUGUAAAAAUUUUCUACGGUCAUGUCUUUGUCUAGUAAUCUCAUUUUCUUGUAGGUGUCGUAGUAGAGGAUGUUGACAGAACUCUCAUUAUCAACAAAUACCCGAUGAACGUUUAAGGUGGCGAUACGGAUGACGACCACUAAGGCAUCGUUAUGGGGAUGGUGUACCCACCUUGCAUCGUCCUCCGUGAAUGUGAUGUCCAUAGUUUCUCCCUUGAAUACUCGCGGGGCUCUGGCCGAUAGAUGGUUCACAUUGGUCAGGGGGUAGUCCCUUGCUUCCUUAGCGUAUUUGUCCAUUGCUUUUCGGCUACCUCCCCCUAUGUAUGGUCCUCCGAAUAUACUUCUGAUGCUACCUUCCCUUAAAAACUGGGUAUCGUUCUGUUUUUCACCUGCUCUAUCAUCUUGUGAAGCUCCGAGGGCGCGUCUUUCUGGGGGGUGAUCGGUCCUAUACUUUUUUACCCCAUCUGUUAAAUAUCCUUCUUUGAGUAAAUAUUCAAUCUCCUCUUUCAGAUGUCGGCACUCGGAGGUGUUAUGCCCGGCUGAUUCGUGGAAGUCACAAUACUUCUUUUUGUCCAUGGCUAUGUGUUGGGGGAUAGGUUGAGGUCUUUGGAACGGCACCUUAUCCUUACUUACUGCAUAGAUGUGCUCAGCUGAUGCUGUUAGCGGAGUGUAUGUGCCUGACUGCCUUUGAGGGCUCCAAGAUCUUUUACUCGAGGUCAUGUUUACACUUCUCGGAGAGCGGGUGCGUCCUCUUGUUUCUGGGCUGGGGGUGCGAUCCUUUCUUUUAUACUUUGAUUUGGCGAUCUCCUUUUGGUUCUCGGCCAGCGACUACUCUGUCUUUUUGAAGGACUCGGCUGCGGAAUACAAUUCAGACAGGGUGGCUGGGUCCUUUCCUUGGAGGUGUUUCCAGAAGUCGGUGCCAACUUUAAGCCCAACUAUCAGGAAGUUCUUCAAGGUGUCAUCCGAAGCUCCUUUUACUUCCAUGGACUCUUGAUUAAAUCUUUUGAAGUACGCGGUCAGGGUCUCAUUGUCACGCUGCUUGACGUUGGCGAGAGUAGUAACGGGCGAAGCGUAUUUGGUCGCGGCUUGGAAUUGUGUCAUGAACAUCUGCUGCAUGCCUUCCCAAGAGGAGAUGACCCCUCGUCCUAACUUCAGAAACCAUUGUUGGGCACUGUCCCUUAAGGUUGUUGCUAGAAACCUGCACCUGACCAAGUCAGGGAUUUGAUACAAGUCCAUUUCAAUGUUGAACCUGAUCAAGAAUUCACGGGGAUCAGCAUUCCCGUGGUAAUGGAGAUCAGCAUUCAGGUUCUUGAAACCGGUUGGUAAUUGGGCUUCGCGGACUGCUGCGGUAAAUGGUGAUGAGAUCUGUGGUGCCGUUGUGGCAGCGCCAGAUUGCAAGAGGGCUAGUAACUUCUUUAAGUCUUCAGGGUUGAUGGUUCCGAUUCCUGGGAUAGUUUGGGUGGUUACCAGAGGGGUAGCGGUUACAUUUGCUAGGUUCGUGUUGGCCACUGCGGUCUGAAGUACAUUGGUGGCUUCGGUCUGGGUAGCGGUCGGUUGGACGAUUUGGGUUAGUGUUUGCGUUGGAGGGGUAGGUGCGGUGGGAAUGGUUGCGGGAAUAGUUUGCUGCGGAGUGGGUAUGAUUGGAGGCGGUGUCGUCUGUUGAUUGGCAGUAGGUAUCAUUGGAGGUGGCGUGGCUUGUUGAUUGGCAGUAGGUGGGCCUUGGGGAGGCGUGUCUCCUUGAUUGCUAUGGGGGCGCGUCCUUCCCGUGGCUCUUGGGUCCGGGGUGUGUUAGCUCGAUUCACUUUGAGAAGGGAGGUAUUCUAUCAAGGGUCCUCCUCGGCGCCUUUCCCUCAAAUUUGGUAUGAGGCCUCUUCCUCUCCCCUUUAUUCCUCGGCACGUCCUUCCUAUUCCUAUUUCACGUCUCGUCUCAGGAGGCGCGCCAGUUCCCUGAGGACGUAGGGGCGCGCCGUUUCCUUGAGAGGGUCUCCUCUGUUCCUGCUCUGCCAUUCGCACAAUCAUAGCCAAACUAUUUGGAGUGAUACCUAAUCUUUCAGCCAGAGGUCGAGAGUCUGCAUUCUGGUCGACUGUCUCUUGUCCCGUCCCUUCAGGUUGCGCAGCAGGCGUGGUCAUGUCCAGGGGCGCGCCCUCCGCAUUGUAGACUCCUUGGCUUAUUAGAGCUCCUGGUGGGAGGUUAACACCAGGGGUCGUAUCUCCAUAUUCCAACAUUCGAGGGGUAGGACGUCUGAAAGGUCUGCGUCCUCUCUUGCCAUGGCUUCUGAAAUGGCGAGAGUGUCUGGGGACAAGUUCUUCGAGUAUAGACUUCAUGGUGUUCAACCUCGUGUCGUACCUCGAUUGAUUUUGUUCUAUUCGUUGGAGGGUGCUAAGAAGCUCCGUGUUACUGACCACAACCGGGGGUGGGUUGUUUGGCAGGGUGCGGGGGUCUUGAAUGUGCACCGGCGAAUAUGCCUCCACUGGUUCAUCUUCAACGUAGUAGUCUCCUUCAUACGAAUCAUCAUCGUGAUUGGCCAUCUCUUCCUCUUCGAGAUUUCACCUGUAGCCCCUCCUUCUAGCGCCAAUUUGUUGAUAGAGGAAUUUGGUGAAUCAACAAAUGUGAGGUUCGUUGCCGGAAUUAGGUUUUUCACGGUGAUUAUAUGACGGAAAUCCGUCGUGGGUGGUGGUUUUUAGUGUUUGAUGGUGGCUGAGAUCAAGGGAAUAUAUUUCUGCUCUCGUGCUCACAACUCUCGAUAUAUCCCCUUAAUGUGCCUACGUACCCCUUUAUAUAUGGGAUCAAGCCGUACGUAGUUCUACUGAACCAGGAGUCCUAGUUUUAUCAGGACUAGCUAAUACAUGUACCAAGAUUAUUCUAGAAACUCCUACAUACUUCUAUUAUUUUAAUAGUCAAAAGUACAUUAUUUAUUUUUAACACAUUUGUCAAGAAAGAUAUAAACUUAUUAUAAUUUAUAAUGAUGUUGAAUUCUAUGUAUGGUGUGGACUACAGCCUUACAGUUGCAACAAGCUGUCAGUUUACUCCCUUCAACCUUUGCCACACAAAAAAUCCGGUUCGAAGAAAGAUGCAGAAUAUUCGUGUGACACAUGUCAAAGGAUUUUGACCUACCCAUCUCGCCAUCGCUACUGCAGCAUCAGUUGCAAGGUAACGACAUUCUCACAAAAGGCCAAAAGCUCGGAUCCACCAUUUUUAGCGGUCAACAAGAGAAAAAGAUCAAAUAUUGAGGGAAACACAAUGGCCCCUACCCAUCAAACUUUCAAUGGUCAAGGGGCGGGAAUCAAAAGAAAUAAAAGAAAAGGAACCCCUCAAAGAGCUCCCUUCUUAUGAUUUACUUUAAAUUUAAGGGGUGUUGUUUGUAGCAUACCCAUGAAACUCAUUAUCAAAUAUUACUAAUUAAAAUAAUGAAUAGGUUGAUGUUAUGCUUAUUGAUUUUAAUUAGA